rnacentral:rRNA from 1 species
ACUUAACACAUGCAAGUCGAACGAGGAGCUUCGGUGUAGCAAUACAUCGGAGCUUCGAGUGGCGCACGGGUGAGUAACACGUGGGCAACCUGCCCUCGAGUCCGGGAUACCCUCUCGAAAGGGAGGCUAAUACUGGAUACGUUCUCCGGAUCGCAAGGUCUGGAGAGGAAAGGUAGCGAAAGCUGCCGCUCUUGGAGGGGCUCGCGGCCUAUCAGCUAGUUGGUGAGGUCAUGGCUCACCAAGGCGAUGACGGGUAGCUGGUCUGAGAGGACGACCAGCCACACGGGAACUGAGACACGGUCCCGACUCCUACGGGAGGCAGCAGUGGGGAAUUUUCCGCAAUGGGCGAAAGCCUGACGGAGUGACGCCGCGUGGGGGACGAAGGCCUUCGGGUCGUAAACCUCUUUCAGCACCGACGAAGCGCAAGUGACGGUAGGUGCAGAAGAAGGACCGGCCAACUACGUGCCAGCCGCCGCGGUAAAAC